rnacentral:rRNA from 1 species
GACGAACGCUGGCGGCGUGCCUAACACAUGCAAGUCGAGCGGAGACAUCGAGUAGCAAUACGAGAUGUUUUAGCGGCGGACGGGUGAGUAACGCGUGAGCAACCUGUCCUCAACAGGGGGAUAACGAACCGAAAGGUUCACUAAUACCGCAUAAGACCACGAGGCCACAUGGCCAAGGGGUAAAAGGAGAAAUCCGGUUGAGGGUGGGCUCGCGUCUGAUUAGCUAGUUGGUGGGGUAACGGCCUACCAAGGCGACGAUCAGUAGCCGACCUGAGAGGGUGAUCGGCCACAUUGGGAACUGAGAGACGGUCCAAACUCCUACGGGAGGCAGCAGUGGGGAAUAUUGGGCAAUGGAGGAAACUCUGACCCAGCAACGCCGCGUGAAGGAAGAAGGGUUUUCGGAUCGUAAACUUCUAAUCCUUGGUGAAAAUAAAAGAUGGUAGCCAAGAAGGAAGCCCCGGUAACUACGUG